CGUGUCACUGUCGCGUCCCAAUCGCAGCCAAGUCUCAGCCUUAAUCUAAGCAACACCCGAAAAGGCAGCGGCAGCCGCAGCCUCUCCCUGACUCUUCCAUCCAUCCACCCAACUAAAAAUAUAAUACUACAUAUGAGCUUUAACCACUCCACGUUUAUAGGGAUCAAGCCACUGAAAAUCCAGGAGAACACAAUAAAAAAAAAAAAAAAAAAAAAAACCCUCCUUCUGUCUCUUGUCUCUCUCUCUCCUCUCUCUUCCUCUCUCUCCUCUCUCUCUGUCUCUCCUUUUGCCAUCUACAUGAUCCUUGAUUAAACAUGGAACAGAGUUAAUAAAAAAAAAAGGGGGGGGAGGACUCUAGGAGAGGAAAUGCAACUGUCAGAAAUCGGGACCGCCAGAUUUCCUGGUGAACCUGCCUCUGUCUGAGUCAGUGUCAAUCCACCAUCUUCCGCCAGUGAACUUGUCUUUAGGUUUUUGUUUGGUUGGGGGGGGGCUGUUGUUGUUGUGUGUGUGCUUUUUUGGAAGGGGGAGGGGAGAGGGAAGGUGGGGGCUGGAGGGGGGAGUAGGGAGAAUGUGUGUGUGAGUGUGUGUUGAGUGUGAGUGUGUUUGUGUGUGUAGGGGUCGGGGGGGGGGGGUCCGUGUUCGCGAUCUGAACCUUUGGUACCUACAAGGAGGGUGUCUCACGGAACGGUAGCUAAGACCUCACCAGAACCGCGCGGAAGUGAGGAGUCACGGCCAAAGGCGCCCGCUGGAGCCUCCUCUCUGGGCCGGACCCCAGCCCGAGCGGCCGAAAGGAGCCCCCCGCCCGGAUCACAGCUGCCGCUGAAAUUCGCUGUGGCCGCUGCCUCUUCCCGCUUUAAUCCCAGACCUCCAGUCAUUGGGCAGCUCCUCAGAGGCAAGAAGUCAACACCAUGGCAACCCCACAAGCCUAUCAAAUCGCCGGCUGGUGUGACAGCAGCAACAAUGCAGGCAGGAGUGGGCUGGGCAGAAGAGCAGAGUGGCCACUGCGCUCAGGUAUAUGGUCUGGGAGUGGACAGCAGCUGUCAGCCUCCACGGUCUAGCUACACAGAUGUGCACCACUCGGUUCAUACCCCUACCCCAAGUCCCCUAGUAGGUCUAGAGGAGGAGGAGGAAGAAGAAGAGGAGGGAUGCAUGUAAGAUUGGAAGAGCUUCGGAAGAGUUUCAAGCUAAAAGUCAUCGAAGCCUAGAUAUUGUAAACUAAAGAUGCCCUGUGCCCCAAUAUUCCACGAAACCAAACCACACUAGGCAGCCUCAGAACUAAAUUUAAGUGGUUUGCACAAAGGUGUGGGGGUUUUCUUCACCAGGUCUUCUAUCACGUGCUUGAACAAAAGUAAUGAAACAUUUUGCUCUGGAGUUCCAAAAGGAUCAAAGAAACCAUGGAGCUUUUACUGUCUGCUAAGUAUUGGAUUCUGCAAAAAAAAAAAAAAAAAAAAAAAAAAAAAAGGUUCAACAUCAUGUUCUGUCAAUAUGCUAAUUGACUGCCUGGAAAUAACCUAAACUUUACCUGAAACAGCCUUUGCCUUGUUCUUUCCCAAAGUGUGUGCUACGUGUAAUGUGUGUUCUAGAUCUUGAUUCUCUAGAAAAGAAACAGGAGACUAGGAAAUGGGUAACUAGAAAAUCUGUGUGUUCCUCUUGGGCCUACCUGGCCAUUUAUAUUUCCUCAUUUUCCUUAAGAAACUCCCAAGUUUAGCCGGAUGGAAGAAGACAAGACUUUCACUAAUAUUUCAGAAGAUCUUGUGAAUUAACAUGAGAUAGACUGAAACUGCAUUUUUCCUUUUUGAUUUUAAAAGCACUCAGUGUUUCUGAGAAACACACAACAUGUUAUUUCUCAUUAGAUUUUAACUCCAUAGGGAAAACUUUGACAAAUAUUUGUACAAUACACUACCCUUGACCAUAUAAGCCCCUCUAUUAUUUAUCUCAUCAUUGAUUUCUAAAUUUCAGAACACAAGUUUGUUGAAGUUGUAUAGGACAGGAAGAGAAAUCCACUUAAUGAAGUUAAUGUGUCAUACUGAGGAAAUCUUGUAUGAAUUCUAAAAUCUACCCUUAAUCCACUCCACAUAAACACAAUUCACUAAAUAAACAACUUUCAUAUUGAUCUAACA
rnacentral:lncRNA from 1 species